UCACUUUCAUUUUUUCACCCGGUCGAAGCGCGCGUUCGGAAGUCAGCUCCGCGUUUCAAUCCGAGAAAAGGCGGAAAAUGGUGAAAAAUCCAACGGGAAAAAUGGCAUGCAGCUAAAGAGAGAGGGCGUGAGAGAGCAAUUAGGAACAGAAGCAGGAGAUCAAAGAAUGAACGAAUUUGCACCGCUCCCUCUUUCAUUUUUUUACCCGGUCAUGAAAAUGCGGAAAAUGGUGAAAAUUCCAACGGGUUUAAGCCACGCAGGGCUAUGGCGCAGAAGCAGAACAAAUGGCGGCAAAAAUGCAGUUCAACGAAGGAAAAGUGCGGCAAUGUGUGAUAAAUUUGA